CCUCCCCACCCUCUCUCUAUCUCUCUCUAUCUGCUUUCCCCUCUCUCUAGAACAAAACUGCCGCCCCUCUAUCAUUUUCCCACUCCGAUGGACGGUUGCUGUCGCCGCCCCACCAUUUUUCUUCCUCAUCUCUUUCCUCCGUCUCCCAGCCACCGGUCAUCAGUACUGCCACUAUCGCACCGUCGUCGUCGCUCUUCACUUCUAUCACUGCCUCCGUGUCACCAGCUGUCAUACAACACCGCCGGACGCCGACCAACUCGUCUCCCUCUUCACGCUAUUAGUCGCCUCCUUUCCCAACGGCACCAACGACGAUAAUACUAUCACCAUCCGACGACACCAGUCAACAACCAAGGAAACCCAUCGCCCCCCGUUAUCUGCAUCUCUACCACUGUUCGGGAUUAUUUGAAGAGUCGCCGGGCUUUAAACAUAAUAUGUUAUUCCUUAUAGCUACUAUUUUUCCUUUCUUAUUUUUUUUAUCAUUUGAUUUGUAAUAUUAUUGUAAAGACAUUAUAUUGAUAUAAUAAUAAAUUUUGGGGACUGCUUUGGGGGUAGGAAUUUACGUGCUCUAUGAAUAGUGUAGAUAGGCACAAAUUAGGUUUUUACGUGUGUUACAUGCUACAUGAAUCGCUUACAUACUUUCAUUAAUUAAUUAGCUUAGAAAUCUUGCUAAUACCUUUGAACAUAUUCACAUUGAUUUUGGGCAUGGUAAUAUUUUAGUGCGCUAGCCUACCACAUUAAACUUUUGCAUGUUAAAAACUACAACUUAUCGACGUCACUGCAUGUUUAUGCAUGUUAACACAAUUUAGGCAUAUUAAAACGAAUUUAAGCACGUGAGCAUGUCAAUAAUUAAUUUUUUGCACAUUAGUGGAUUUUUAACAUGUUAAGUAUGAUAUUUUCAUGUUUUCAACAUGUAAAUAAUAUUUAUGUAUGACAAUAUGGUAUGCAUUUUAACAAGUAAUUGUAAGCAUAUUAGUGAACUCUCCAACAUCAUAAAAACUGUCAAAAAAUUGAUUUAAUUAUGACAUUGCAUGUGUUAGCAUAUAGACGCAAAUCUAAGUGUUUACUAUUUUUAUAUCAUGAUAACCUUAAACUCCUGCACAUUAAUAUAUUUUUAGUAUGCUAAAACACCAGAUUUCUGACAUAUUAAUAUAUUUGUAGCAUGUUGAAUAUUAGAAUUAAGCAUGUCAAUGUUAAAAUGGUAGCAUGUUAACAUAAAAAAAAUUCCGAGCAUUAACAUAUUUUUCAGCAUGUCAAAAAUAAUAAAGUUCAUGUAUUUUUCGUAUGCUAAUAUUAAUUUCAGCAUGUUAAAAUAGUGUUUAUGUGUAAAACAAGUAAGUUCAGCAUGUCUACACUCCGUUUCUGCAUAAAACAAGUUAAAAUUUUGCAUUAUUAAAAUUAUGUUUUUGUAUUAUUAUAACUGCAUUUCUGCAUUAUUAAAACUACAUUUCUACAUUAUUUGAAAUUGCGUUUCUGCAUUAUUAUAAUUGUGUUUCUGCAUUAUUAGAAUUGCAUUUUUCAUUACUAAAACUGUGUUUCUGCAUAUUAAUAUUAAUUUCAGCAUGUUAAUAACUGGCAUCAUGUUAAUUUCAGCCCGUUAAUAUCUUCAGUAUGUUAAACAUAAAAUUUUUACAUGUUGAUUCGUCCCCCAUAUUUAAAUGCAUUCUUGUCAUGUUAAUGUAUUUUUAAUAUUUUUGUUAAUUUCUUAUGUACUCAUUAGUUUAUAACACUUAAUUCGUGAGCACAAUUCCUUGACACAUUUACCACACUUUUGACACCUUCUUGUAAACACUUGACAACAUAUUUUUACACACACGAGUCACAGUUCUCUUUUGUCACCAGUUCCUGAAUACUUCGAUACCAUGCCUAUAGGUCAAUGACACAAAAUAAAUAAUUAUUUGUCUUUGCAUGUUAAUCACAUUAUUCAACUCUCUAAUAACCAAGAGGUUAACAUAAGACAUUACUUACUACUUGACGUCCAAUGUGUUACGUGUUUCAAGUCCUAGGCAACAUAACUUUAUUCUUGUCUAGACCCCAAAACCAAUAUAGCAAAGUCUAAUGCCUCUUGGACGAUAGGCGGGACGAUGGGAAUUACUAAAGGCGCUAGUUUUAUCCUUGUCUUAGAAUGCCUUUAGAGUUAACAACCAGCCUAGGUGGGGAGGGACGGGUAGUCGUUAGAAAGUGAUAAUCUCCAACAGACAUUAAAGGUAAGACAUCUGACUUGUCUAAGAGUUCGACCAGUGGGUCGGAUGAUGAUUAAACAAGUUGGGGUUCCGAUCCGAAUGAGACCAAAAAUAUUUCUUUAUUUGAUUUAACGAAUUCUUUUCAUUCUUUUAUUUACCUUACAUGCUUAUUUAUUUAGGGUAGUUAGUUUGUUACGUAAGCAGUCCCCUUUUGUUACAAAUUAUGUCAGUUCUUUCUUCUCGCUUAUCUUAUUAUAUGUUUUUAUCACUUCGAUAAUUAAUAAUUACAAAUAAUAAAAUAAUAUAUUUUUUUCAUUAAUUGUUUUAUCACUUAGUUAAACAUUAAAUCAAUAAUAAAAUAAAAGACCUUAUUUGAUCACAUAGAAUUCCCACGUAAAAUAUGAAUUCGGCCGAAAACCACCUUUGUGGAUCCUCAAAGAGUGCAUAACACCUUUAUUUUGAGGUAAUUUGAACCCUUACCCUAACUCUGGUGAACUAAGACAAAACAAUAAAAUAAGUUUCUAGCUAGUCUAGACCGGUGCCCUAACACACCUUUAAUUCAUUAGGUGGCGACUCUUCACACUCUACCUUCAAAACAAUCCCAAAAAAGAGUCGUCACGUCGAAUCCCGCUUUUCGCAAAAAAAAUGGGGUGCGACAGAAUGGCAACUCUUCUAGGGAUCUUAGGUUCUAACCAAUACGAGUUUGUAUUUUAUGUGGGAUUCCUUCACAUUCUUUGUUUUAUUUUUCGUAAUUGCUUUCUCUCUUAUUGUUUAUAUCAUGAUUUAUUGUUAUAUAUUCUCUUUCCCUUUCCCUUUAUGUGUUAUUUACAGUUCUCCAUGUCUAUCUCUUCCCCUUUUCCCCUUUUUAUUGCUUAUGUAUUAUCAUGUUCACUUAUGUGUAUAUUUCUUAGCAUGUUAAUUUUAUUAUAUGCUACAUAUUACCGCUUUAUAUAACUGGCAUCCCGCUCAUACUUUCCUCCACUUGGAACCUCUUUUGUUUUUUUAUCGAUGGUUGCGUGGUAGAAAAAACGUUCUUUCCUAAAACACCCUUCGAAAAAUGUCUUAUGGAUUGGUCGAUCAGCGGUGCAUUGACAGCCACAAUCUUUCCCACUCUCGAGUUGUCCAUUCGAGGGAACCAUGUCAUAAACCCACUCUUGCCCUUUAGGUACUGACUACAUAUUUCUUUUAUUAAGGAAUAUGUGUCCCGUUCAACACAGGAUGUCAUGGCAUUCUUGAUGCGUUGAAUGUUAGUCUCAUUCAAAGUCCAAAAAGGUUCACGACCUCAAAGGGACUCACAAUUAUUUGCUAUGUGUUGCAUUUCUACAUAUGUUUGAUAUUUUACCUAUCUUGUUAUUUUCCUUCUUGUCUUAGUCACUCUUUACAUUUAGUGUUCCUCACCUUAGAACUCUUUACUCUUAACAUUAUUGCCAUGUUAGGACCCUACAAUAUACUCUUAGGGCCUAUUCUAUACUUACCUUCAAUUUAUCCUCCUGACUCAUCCGGUAGUAUUUUAAUCAUCUCUAGGCUCAGUUCUUGCUUUGAUAAAGGGGUUUAGGCUUAUUCAUAAUCUUGUAGUACAACUUAUCAUUUUAGGAUAUUCUCUUUCAACGUUUACAUACUAUUAUCCUACCACGAUUCUUGAACAUCAUUGUACUCAUAUCGUACUCUAGCUUUCAUAAUCUCUAAGUUACAUAGAGCUCUCAUAACUUCUAUUCACUCUGAACAAACAUAACUCAUCAUUUUCAAAUGAGUAGAAUAUUUAUUCUAGACUCCCGCGCGUGCUCUUUGUUCCAAAUUAUAAAUCCUUUCUUCUAAGGUUGACUAAAGUUUAACAUCACUACGUUGACCUGAUUUCCCUCUAUGAGGGAUACGAAGGCGCUCAUUUAAUGAGUUCGGUCUCACUAUAAUUAAAUCUUCUUUUCCCCAUUUUGUCCUUUUCUAUAGGAAGUUGGAUGAAUCAACAAUGUUCAACAAAAAUCAACCUUAGUCAUUUCCUUUCUUUCUUAUCUUCUUUACAAUCACAAUUGCAAAAUCGAUAUCAUAUCCUGUCACUGUCCUGUUUCAUGCGUCAGGAGCUUAAAUCUUUACGCCUAUAUCACUUAUUAAAUCUUAGUCUUCAUCCUUGAAUACCUUUUAUUUUAUAUUUAUUAUGUUUUGAACUUAUGUGUUAUGUGGUAAUUUUUAUGUGCCUUACAUAUCUUAUUUUAAGGUUGUCUAGCAUUUGAACAUCAAACUCAAGUGACAAUCUGCGACAUGACAAUUAUGCUCAAUAUCUGAAAAGUUGUCAGUUCUCCUUCUCAUCGCCUAAAUCAAAACACUAUGACUCCUUAUCCUCGCCUUACCCACACCCCUUCUCGGUAAUUAUCUUUUACACAUGACACUUCUGAAAGCAAAAGGAUCAAAUCGGAUGAACGUUGGCGAAGUCUUUGUGACUUAGAAAGAAGGAUGAAUGAGGAACUGCGUUCUAGGGGUAUCUAUGACUUAAGGUAUGAGAAAUUAUGUAUACAUCCGUGGAUUGAUUUACCUCCAGGAUACAAUGUCCCCAAAUUCAACACAUUCAAUGGGCAUGGAGAUCCAAUCACACAUCUGAAGGGCUAUUGUGGCAAACUAAUUAGCAUAGGGCAUAAUGAGCCUCUCUUUAUGAGAUUGUUUAUUCAGAGUUUGUCAAGAAUGACACUCACAUGGUUCGCCCAACAAAACUUCGACAAAUAGCAUAAUUGGGAAGAAUUUCCUCAAGAUUUUGUGAGGCAAUACAAGUUUAACAUCAAUACCGGUCUGACAAUACGAGAAUUACAUUAGAUGAAGAAAGCGACCCAUGAAUAUUUUGAGGAAUAUGCAACUCGAUGGAGGUUAGAGGCUUCCAAAAUACGUCCUUCUAUACCUGAGGAGAAACUGAUCCAAAUUUUCCUCAAGACACUAGACGGAAUAUACUUUCAGAAAAUAUUCUUCCUGGUCAAUCACAACUUUGAGAGUCUAAUUUCGAUUGGAAAGAAAUUAGAAUAUGAAACGAAGAAUCCACCCAAGGAAGAGAAAGAGGAUUCUUCACCUUCCAUACCUCAAACACGAGGUUAUCGAUAUAAUGAGAUCCACGCUGAUUUUAGUCCUCGAAACAAGGCUUGUUAGAUCCACUCCUACUCUGUCCAACAAGAUCCAAGACGUUAACAAAAGAAACAUAAAGCGAAUCACAUGAAUUGACGUUCUUGUUUCACGUCACUAUUUUACCCACCGUACGACUAGCAAUAAUUUCCAGUUUUCUCUAUAUUUCUUGGUACUCUUGAACUACGUUCGACCUCACUUCCAUUUGGAUACAUAGGCAUCCCACUCUGGGUCCGAUCUUAAUCUGAUAAAAUAUUUUCUUUCACCAUUUUCUUUCAAUUCUUACAAUUCCAAAGCGACAGGCUAAUAGACCCAACUCUUUAGCGUAUAAAGGCAGAUUACAACUGAAGUUACAAUAUUCAAAUGUAGGAAAAUCAUUUAUCUCGGACUAAUUGUUUCUUUGAGUGGUACAGAAAUAUAAGACUUUGAAGACAAAAAUUAGGGCAGAAAUUUUUUAGAGUUCCUCAAAAAUUUCAUGAUUAAACAAUAUAUCAAUUCACUAAUGACGUGUAAAAGUCACCUUUCAUUCUAAACUGGGGAAAUUUUUUUUGAGAAUUCCUCAAAAAUUUCAUGAGUAAAAAAUCUAUUCACAAUGACGUACGAAGAUGCUUUACAAACUAGGGCGGAAAUUUUUAGAAUCUCUCAAAAAUUUCAUCACGAUGGAGUACAAAUCCCAACUGUUCAUGGAGUAGAAAAAAAUGACUAAGGAGUCGACUCGAGCAUGGUACCAAUCCAUAUUUCUUUUUGACUGACAACUUUUUCUUUGAGUACCGGAUUAACAGGUACAGAUGACAACAAUCAUCACGAAAGGCCCAAAUGACUAAUCCGACAUCAUGAUGAGAGACUUCAUAAUUGAUCCAACAAUGCGAUAGGUACAGAUCACGUUCCCAUGAUGAGAAGCUAGACAGCUAAUCACAUGAUUUCAUAAUGCAUCGAGAAUUCCAAAAGCUGAUCCCACGAUGAAAAGCCAAACAACUCAUCGCACGAUUCCACAAUGCAUCGAGAAGCCAAAUAGUUGAUCCAAUGAUACAUCAAGAGGUUCAAUAUCCUAUCCAACGUCAUAUCAAGAAGCCAGACAGUUGAUCCAAUGAUACAUUGAGAGGUUCAACAUCUGAUCCAACGUCAUAUCGAGAAGCCAAACUGUUGAUCCAACAAUACAUCAAAAGGUUCAACAGUCGAUCCAACGUCAUAUUGAGAAGCCAAACAGCUGAUCCAAUGAUACAUUGAGAGGUUCAAAAUCCGAUCCAAUGUUAUAUCAAGAAUCCAAAUAGCUAAUCUAACGAUACAUCGAGAGGUUCAACAUCUGAUUCAAUGUUAUAUCAAGAAGCCAAACAGCUGAUCCAAUGAUACAUUGAGUGGUUCAACAUUUGAUCCAACGUCAUAUCGAGAAUCCAAACAGCUGAUCCAACAUCACAUCAAGAAGUCAAACAGCUAAUUCAACGAUACAACAGAUACGCUUUCUUUAUUUCCAUAUGUCAUUUAGUACGAUGUAAAGACGCAAGUAACGGAGGAGGAAUAAUAAAUAGGGAUAAUUUUCAUUUCUAUUUUUGGAGUAUUACCCCAUCUAUGCAUCAUCGCCUAAACUAAUCUUAAAACUCACUAUUCCAAAUCCCAUUCAAUUUCAU